GAAAAGAACUAUGGAAUGACGUCACUGUUUCCCAGGAGAAAGUGGAGUUCGCUGAUUCAUCAUGUCCACAAGAUCAUCGAGUUAAUAAUGCAUAUUGCAUCACUCAUAGAUUUAUUGUGACCACGGACGCUAUCUCAGUUUUCCAUGUCUGAAGAAGAAGAACCAAGAUCUCAAGGCUAAAGAUAAUCAAAACCAAAAUGAAGCACAAAAAGAAUAAGAUAAAAUUCAAUGCAGCCAUGAUGUUUCGGAGCUGGUAUUUGAUUGGAACCAGACAAAACGGCUCGAAAGGUCUAUAGGAGCAACUCAAGUUAGGACAAGGAAAUAUACUAGGAUCUUGGAAUCAAUACUAUGGGAAUAGAAAAUUACAGCUUUUCUUAUUAUCGAAAUAACAAUUUUGAAAAAGAGCACAAAGCACCCGCGUCAGGAUUCCAUGUCUGCGUACUUAAAAAAAUAGCUGAUGAAGAAAAUCAAUAUUAGCGAGUAACAAAAAAUGAAUCAGUUCCCUGGGAAACGUGUUAAAGGAAGAGGAAAAGUCUCACAAGCCGGUGUUUGAUGUUGACAGGGACAGCUUUUAUUAAUUCGCAAAAUUACCUGUGAGCUAAAAAAAGAUCUGUAUAUAUAUAUAAAGAAAAGUUUCACGAUUCUCUUUUCUUAAAAAUUGUGUUCUGUUCAUUGCUCGCGUGUGUAAGCGUGACAAUAUAUAUAAUAAAUUAUAAUGUAUAGAAUGACAA